rnacentral:rRNA from 1 species
AGCAGUCGCCGCGGUAAUACGUAGGGUGCAAGCGUUAAUCGGAAUUACUGGGCGUAAAGCGUGCGCAGGCGGUUCUAUAAGACAGAUGUGAAAUCCCCGGGCUCAACCUGGGAACUGCAUUUGUGACUGUAGAGCUGGAGUGCGGCAGAGGGGGAUGGAAUUCCGCGUGUAGCAGUGAAAUGCGUAGAUAUGCGGAGGAACACCGAUGGCGAAGGCAAUCCCCUGGGCCUGCACUGACGCUCAUGCACGAAAGCGUGGGGAGCAAACAGGAUUAGAUACCCGAGUAGUCCCUGUCUCUUAUAC